GGGGGAGCAAGCGUUGUUCGGAUUUACUGGGCGUAAAGGGCGCGUAGGCGGCCACCGCAAGUCAGUUGUGAAAUCUCUGGGCUUAACCCAGAAAGGUCAACUGAUACUGCGGGGCUAGAGUGCAGAAGGGGCAACUGGAAUUCUCGGUGUAGCGGUGAAAUGCGUAGAUAUCGAGAGGAACACCUGCGGCGAAGGCGGGUUGCUGGGCUGACACUGACGCUGAUGCGCGAAAGCUAGGGGAGCGAACGGGAUUAGAUACCCCGGUAGUCCUAGCCUUAAACGAUGAAUGCUUGGUGUCUGGGGUUUUAUAGUCCCCGGGUGCCGUCGCUAACGCUUUAAGCAUUCCGCCUGGGGAGUACGGUCGCAAGACUG
rnacentral:rRNA from 1 species